GCCGGAGUGGUGGAAUAGGUAGACACGCGGGAUUUAGGUUCCCGUGCCGCAAGGCGUGAGGGUUCAAGUCCCUUCUCCGGUACCA
rnacentral:tRNA from 1 species